rnacentral:rRNA from 1 species
UACGAAGGGGGCGAGCGUUGUUCGGAAUUACUGGGCGUAAAGGGCGCGUAGGCGGCCGAUCAAGUCAGAUGUGAAAGUCCUGGGCUUAACCUGGGGACUGCAUUUGAUACUGAUUGGCUUGAAUGCAGGAGAGGAUAGCGGAAUUCCCAAGUGUAGAGGUGAAAUUCGUAGAUAUUGGGAAGAACACCGGUGGCGAAGGCGACUCACUGGACAUGUAUUGACGCUGAGGUGGCGAAAGCGUGGGGAGCAAACAGG